UCCAGCUGCUCUGUUCUUACUUUGAACACCGAGUUGAGCAGUGGAUCACGCGGGAAAAAAAUCAAACCGCUUCAAAUAAAGAAAUACUCUUCUGAAACUAUGCUCCUCUUAGGACAGACACACCUCCUGUGCAUAUGGUUGCAGGUUGUAUCCAUGCCAAGAUAGCACCUUGUAUGCAUAAUAUGGACCAUAUUUUGAAUAUACGAAAAAUCAAUUUAUUUAGUUUUCUUGCUGUCAGAAUAAGAGCAUGAAACCAACUUCCAUCAAACACAUAUCUGCAGCAUUAUACUAUGUACAGGGUGCAGAUAUAUAUAUUUGUUGACCAAGCAAUUCCCUUCUUCUGAGUAAACGACCAAUAUAUGAUUACCAAUCACCCAAUUUCCUCCCUAUUUUUUUAUUGCAACAUAACAUAUUGUAUUCUCUGUUUUCGAAUCUUAGUGUAAUCUAAUGUGCGAACAGACAUGCCUUUAUUCACAAAAAAGCAGGCAGUGUAAGUGAAGAACACCUAAAACAGAUGGAAAAUGCAAUUACAGACACACCGUCGUUCUAUUUUUCUACAGGAACACAGGUUGCAAUUCCAGUUUCAUCGACGGACUCGCUCGCUGCUCUAGAAGGUGCUUUGGCUUGUUUCUCUGACCGAUUUAUUGGGACAUCUCACAUGGAUCUUCAUGCCUCAUAUACCUAUUUUUUAUUCUCUCGUCAAUUCCACAUGUCUGCUCGUCCAUUGCACGGUACUAGAUGGUCCCUGUUAAGUUAAUUCGAGGUGGGUAAGGUUUGAAUCUCUAUAAGACUCACAGUCAGGUACGACUGGAGGCAUAUUAUGUAAGUGCAUGUCUACUGUUAUGAGGUUUCAGUUUUCGACUCUAUGCAAUUCUCGGUGCAAGGGCCCCCGCUUCCUUGUUGUGACGUUGCAGCCUCACCGGCCCUUCUGCAGGUAUGCUAGCUCCUUCUCUCCUCUUCUUUCAUACUGAUGCAAUUCCCUCAUACUGAUGCAAAAGGAGAGGUCAUUAGCUCUGAUUCUUUGGAAAAAAGGUUGAGAGCUAUACACAACAACGCUAAAGAUGGAGCGGCCUGCCAUGUAUUAGGGCAUACACAUUUCUGUUGGGAUUAUGCGGUUGACAAUAUCAGGUAUGUACAAGCGCCUCUGGCAUACCCUCGAGAAAGAAAGCGAAGGAUAAAUGGAGGCCAAGGAUGGCUGCCGUUUUUUGUAUAUUGUGAUGGCUUCAACCCUGAAACAAGAAUAGAAGGGAGCCUGAGAACACUCAGCUUGCGCCAUGGCAGUCUGACUAUUACAACAAGACAGAAGAGAGCCGGAGAACACUCAGCUUGCACUGUGGGUUGCCAAAUAUUUUUCAAUAUGCUAUGGACCCCCUGUGUUUGCUCGAGUGUAUUGUACACCAAAAUCAUGAGAGCUCCACACAUAAAUUUUGCCCAGACAUACUAUGUUCCUUCAAGUGUAAGCAUUUGAAAUUCUUGAUGCAUUUGAGACGGUGGAAACGAGAGAAGCUGGGAUCGUAGCACUGACCAUGACUGUGAUUGCUAGUGCUCUAAGAGAUAGACGGAGGUCUCAACUGGCUGGGAAGAUUUGACAAGAGAUGUGGAGAUGGGGCACGGGGAGGGGAGGACGAGUCGGCCUGGAGGCCCCGGUUGUGGCUUCAACUAGGCAGGCUUGGGACUCGCGGUGGCGGGCGGCCUCACGCUGGAGCUGGUCCUGGCGGGCGGCCUCGGCCUCGUCCACACGGACUUCUCCUGGUUGUUGAACCGGUUGAGGGUCAUCCGACUUCUUGUUUAUCAGGCUUCAACUAGGCAGGCUUGGGACUCGCGGUGGCGGGCGGCCUCACGCUGGAGCUGGUCCUGGCGGGCGGCCUCGGCCUCGUCCACACGGACUUCUCCUGGUUGUUGAACCGGUUGAGGUUGCAGCUCUUCUUCUCCGUAUCAGUGUCACCGUCGUUUUUUCUUUUGCAUGCGUCGCUUCGGCCGGC